GACUGUUCAAAUAAAACAAAGCAUCGCGAAGGCCCGCGGUGGGUGUUGACGCGAUGUGAUUUCUGCUCAGUGCUCUGAAUGUCAAAGUGAAGAAAUUCAAUGAAUCGCGGGUAAACGGCGGGAGUAACUAUGACUCUCUUAAGCUGUGUCAAGAGCGUGGUUGCUGGGCCGCAGUAUUGAGACCUCAGCCUCCCCAUGGUCCCGCUGGACAACUCUCAUGGGAACCUC
rnacentral:ncRNA from 1 species